rnacentral:rRNA from 1 species
AGGACUUGACAUACCAAGGAAAGUUUUUAGAGAUAAAAACCCUAGAUUUAUCUACCUUGGAUACAGGUGGUGCAUGGUU